rnacentral:rRNA from 1 species
AGAGUUUGAUCCUGGCUCAGGAUGAACGCUGGCGGCGUGCCUAAUACAUGCAAGUAGAACGCUGAAGCUUGGUGCUUGCACCGAGCGGAUGAGUUGCGAACGGGUGAGUAACGCGUAGGUAACCUGCCUGGUAGCGGGGGAUAACUAUUGGAAACGAUAGCUAAUACCGCAUAACAGUAGAUAUUGCGUGAUAUCUGCUUGAAAGGUGCAAUUGCAUCACUACCAGAUGGACCUGCGUUGUAUUAGCUAGUUGGUGAGGUAACGGCUCACCAAGGCGACGAUACAUAGCCGACCUGAGAGGGUGAUCGGCCACACUGGGACUGAGACACGGCCCAGACUCCUACGGGAGGCAGCAGUAGGGAAUCUUCGGCAAUGGGGGGAACCCUGACCGAGCAACGCCGCGUGAGUGAAGAAGGUUUUCGGAUCGUAAAGCUCUGUUGUAAGAGAAGAACGAGUGUGAGAGUGGAAAGUUCACACUGUGACGGUAUCUUACCAGAAAGGGACGGCUAACUACGUGCCAGCAGCCGCGGU